UCUAAGUGCAGUCAUGACCUUGGGUGUCCUC
rnacentral:piRNA from 1 species